AACGAACGCUGGCGGCAGGCUUAACACAUGCAAGUCGAACGCAUCCUUCGGGGUGAAUGGCAGACGGGUGAGUAACGCGUGGGAACGUGCCCUUCAGUUCGGGAUAACCCAGGGAAACUUGGGCUAAUACCGGAUACGUGCGAGAGCAGAAAGAUUUAUCGCUGAAGGAUCGGCCCGCGUCUGAUUAGCUAGUUGGUGGGGUAAUGGCCCACCAAGGCGACGUUCAGUAGCUGGUCUGAGAGGAUGAUCAGCCACAUUGGGACUGAGACACGGCCCAAACUCCUACGGGAGGCAGCAGUGGGGAAUAUUGGACAAUGGGCGCAAGCCUGAUCCAGCCAUGCCGCGUGAGUGAUGAAGGCCUUAGGGUUGUGAAGCUCUUUCGUCCGGGACGAUAAUGACGGUACCGGAAGAAGAAGCCCCGGCUAACUUCGUGCCAGCCGCCGCGGUAAUAC
rnacentral:rRNA from 1 species